rnacentral:rRNA from 1 species
GACGAACGCUGGCGGCGUGCUUAACACAUGCAAGUCGAACGGAAAGGCCCUGCUUUUGUGGGGUGCUCGAGUGGCGAACGGGUGAGUAACACGUGAGUAACCUGCCCUUGACUUUGGGAUAACUUCAGGAAACUGGGGCUAAUACCGGAUAGGAGCUCCUGCUGCAUGGUGGGGGUUGGAAAGUUUCGGCGGGUGGGGAUGGAUGCGCGGCUGACGAGCUGGUUGGUGGGGUAAGGGCGCACCAAGGCUUGGACGGGUAGCCGGCCGGAGUGGGUGACCGGCCCAACUGGAGCUGAGACGCGGUCAGGACGCCGACGGGAGGCAGCAGUGGGGAAUAGUGGAGAAGGGGCGCGAGCCUGAUCCAGCCAUACCGCGUGGUAGAAGACGGCCUGCGGUGGGGAAAGCCGGUUUGUUGGGAAAGAAAAGCAGCAGGUUAAUACCCCGCUGGUCUGACGGUACCCAAAGAAUAAGCACCGGCUAACUUCGUG